rnacentral:rRNA from 1 species
UACAGAGGUCCCAAGCGUUGUUCGGAUUCAUUGGGCGUAAAGGGUGCGUAGGCGGCGCGGUAAGUCGGGUGUGAAAUCUCGGAGCUUAACUCCGAAACUGCAUUCGAUACUGCCGUGCUUGAGGACUGGAGAGGAGACUGGAAUUUACGGUGUAGCGGUGAAAUGCGUAGAUAUCGUAAGGAACGCCAGUGGCGAAAGCGAGUCUCUGGGCAGCAUCUGACACUGAGGCACGAAGGCCAGGGGAGCAAACGGG